rnacentral:rRNA from 1 species
UACGUAGGGGGCUAGCGUUGUCCGGAAUCAUUGGGCGUAAAGCGCGUGUAGGCGGUCCCGUAAGUCCGCUGUGAAAGUCGGGGGCUCAACCCUCGGAUGCCGGUGGAUACUGUCGGGCUUGAGUACGGAAGAGGCGAGUGGAAUUCCUGGUGUAGCGGUGAAAUGCGCAGAUAUCAGGAGGAACACCAAUUGCGAAGGCAGCUCGCUGGGACGUUACUGACGCUGAGACGCGAAAGCGUGGGGAGCGAACAGG